CGCGUAGGCGGACUGUUAAGUCGGGGGUGAAAUCCCAGGGCUCAACCCUGGAACUGCCCCCGAUACUGGCAGCCUGGAGGUCGAGAGAGGUGAGUGGAAUGGCGAGUGUAGAGGUGAAAUUCGUAGAUAUUCGCCGGAACACCAGUGGCGAAGGCGGCUCACUGGCUCGAACCUGACGCUGAGGCGCGAAAGCGUGGGGAGCAAACA
rnacentral:rRNA from 1 species